UCGGGGUGAGUGGCAGACGGGUGAGUAACGCGUGGGAACGUGCCCUUCAGUUCGGGAUAACCCAGGGAAACUUGGGCUAAUACCGGAUACGUGCGAGAGCAGAAAGAUUUAUCGCUGAAGGAUCGGCCCGCGUCUGAUUAGCUAGUUGGUGAGGUAAUGGCUCACCAAGGCGACGAUCAGUAGCUGGUCUGAGAGGAUGAUCAGCCACAUUGGGACUGAGACACGGCCCAAACUCCUACGGGAGGCAGCAGUGGGGAAUAUUGGACAAUGGGCGCAAGCCUGAUCCAGCCAUGCCGCGUGAGUGAUGAAGGCCUUAGGGUUGUAAAGCUCUUUCGUCCGGGACGAUAAUGACGGUACCGGAAGAAGAAGCCCCGGCUAACUUCGUGCCAGCAGCCGCGGUAAUACGAAGGGGGCUAGCGUUGUUCGGAAUCACUGGGCGUAAAGGGCGCGUAGGCGGCUUUAUAAGUCGGGGGUGAAAGCCUGUGGCUCAACCACAGAAUUGCCUUCGAUACUGUAUGGCUUGAGACCGGAAGAGGUAAGUGGAACUGCGAGUGUAGAGGUGAAAUUCGUAGAUAUUCGCAAGAACACCAGUGGCGAAGGCGGCUUACUGGUCCGGUUCUGACGCUGAGGCGCGAAAGCGUGGGGAGCAAACAGGAUUAGAUACCCUGGUAGUCCACGCCGUAAACGAUGAAUGCCAGCCGUUGGGCAGCUUGCUGCUCAGUGGCGCAGCUAACGCUUUAAGCAUUCCGCCUGGGGAGUACGGUCGCAAGAUUAAAACUCAAAGGAAUUGAC
rnacentral:rRNA from 1 species